AUCGGGAGGAAUACCAGUGGCGAAGGCGGCCUUCUGGACUGACACUGACACUGAGGUGCGAAAGCGUGGGUAGCAAACAGGAUUAGAUACCCUGGUAGUCCACGCCGUAAACGAUGUCGACCAGCCGUUGGGUGCCUAGCGCACUUUGUGGCGAAGUUAACGCGAUAAGUCGACCGCCUGGGGAGUACGGCCGCAAGGUUAAAACUCAAAUGAAUUGACGGGGGCCCGCACAAGCGGUGGAGCAUGUGGUUUAAUUCGAUGCAACGCGAAGAACCUUACCUACUCUUGACAUCCUGCGAACUUGUGAGAGAUCACUUGGUGCCUUCGGGAGCGCAGAGACAGGUGCUGCAUGGCUGUCGUCAGCUCGUGUUGUGAAAUGUUGGGUUAAGUCCCGUAACGAGCGCAACCCUUGUCCUUAUUUGCCAGCGGGUAAUGCCGGGAACUCUAAGGAGACUGCCGGUGACAAACCGGAGGAAGGUGGGGACGACGUCAAGUCAUCAUGGCCCUUACGAGUAGGGCUACACACGUGCUACAAUGGCCGGUACAAAGGGUUGCGAGCUCGCGAGAGUCAGCUAAUCCCGAAAAGCCGGUCUCAGUCCGGAUCGGAGUCUGCAACUCGACUCCGUGAAGUCGGAAUCGCUAGUAAUCGUGAAUCAGAAUGUCACGGUGAAUACGUUCCCGGGCCUUGUACACACCGCCCGU
rnacentral:rRNA from 1 species